rfam:Oryza meridionalis cultivar OR44 (W2112) chromosome 11, whole genome shotgun sequence.
AAUAAGCGCAGCCAUGGGUUUUUUUUUUUACAAUUUUAACCGUCAGUCUUAUUUGAAAUUUUUUUAUGAUGGCUGUUAUUAGAAUAUAAAACAUGAAUAAUACUUUAUAUGUGACUUAUGUUUUUUAGUUUUUUCAAAAACAAUUGAAAUAAGACGAACGAUUAAAGUUGGACAAGAAAACUCAUGGUUGUGCUUAUU